AUACGGAGGGUGCAAGCGUUACUCGGAAUCACUGGGCGUAAAGUGCGCGCAGGCGGUCUUUUAAGUUGGAUGUGAAAGCCUACGGCUCAACCGUAGAACUGCAUCCAAAACUAUUAGACUAGAGUGUGGGAGAGGAAGAUGGAAUUAGUUGUGUAGGGGUAAAAUCCGUAGAGAUAACUAGGAAUACCAAAAGCGAAGGCAAUCUUCUGGAACACUACUGACGCUGAGGCGCGAAAGCGUGGGGAGCAAACAGGAUUAGAAACCCUUGUAGUCC
rnacentral:rRNA from 1 species